GUCAAAGCGUUCAUUAAAGUCGAGUUGGCUUAGGGAUACGUUCGUUGGGUAGGGGAGCGUUCUGUAAGCCUGUGAAGGUGUGUCGUGAGGCAUGCUGGAGGUAUCAGAAGUGCGAAUGCUGACAUAAGUAACGAUAAAGCGGGUGAAAAGCCCGCUCGCCGGAAGACCAAGGGUUCCUGUCCAACGUUAAUCGGGGCAGGGUGAGUCGACCCCUAAGGCGAGGCCGAAAGGCGUAGUCGAUGGGAAACGGGUUAAUAUUCCCGUACUUGGUGUUACUGCGAAGGGGGGACGGAGAAGGCUAUGUUGGCCGGGCGACGGUUGUCCCG
rnacentral:rRNA from 1 species